CAGUAGCCGCGGUAAUACGGAGGGUGCAAGCGUUAAUCGGAAUUACUGGGCGUAAAGCGUGCGCAGGCGGUUAUAUAAGACAGAUGUGAAAUCCCCGGGCUCAACCUGGGACCUGCAUUUGUGACUGUAUAGCUAGAGUACGGUAGAGGGGGAUGGAAUUCCGCGUGUAGCAGUGAAAUGCGUAGAUAUGCGGAGGAACACCGAUGGCGAAGGCAAUCCCCUGGACCUGUACUGACGCUCAUGCACGAAAGCGUGGGGAGCAAACAGGAUUAGAUACCCGAGUAGUCCCUGUCUCUUAUAC
rnacentral:rRNA from 1 species